AGAGUUUGAUCCUGGCUCAGAACGAACGCUGGCGGCGUGCUUAACACAUGCAAGUCGAGUGCGCGCCUGUAGCAAUACAGGUGGCGCACGGCGCACGGGUGCGUAACACGUGGGUAAUCUGCCCUCUGAUGGGGAAUAACUCGCCGAAAGGCGAGCUAAUUCCGCAUAAUAUUCCGAGAACUUUGGUUUUUGGACUGAAAGGCGUAAGUCGUCGGAGGAGGAGCCCGCGCACGAUUAGCUAGUUGGUAGGGUAAUGGCCUACCAAGGCUUUGAUCGUUAGCUGGUCUGAGAGGAUGGCCAGCCACACUGGAACUGAGACACGGUCCAGACUCCUACGGGAGGCAGCAGUGGGGAAUCUUGCACAAUGGGCGAAAGCCUGAUGCAGCGACGCCGCGUGGGGGAUGAAGCUUCUCGGAGUGUAAACCCCUUUCGAUCCGGACGAAUACCUCGCAAGAGGAGUGACGGUACGGAUAUAAGAAGCCCCGGCUAACUACGUGCCAGCAGCCGCGGUAAUACGUAGGGGGCCAGCGUUGUUCGGAAUUACUGGGUGUAAAGGGUUCGUAGGCGGUGUGGCAAGUUGGGAGUGAAAUCUCUGGGCUCAACCCAGAGACGGCUUCCAAAACUGCCGUGCUUGAGUGUGG
rnacentral:rRNA from 1 species